rnacentral:rRNA from 1 species
UACGUAGGGGGCAAGCGUUGUCCGGAAUCAUUGGGCGUAAAGAGCGUGUAGGCGGCUCGGUAAGUCCGCUCUGAAAGCCCGGGGGCUCAACCCCGGGAGGCGGGCGGAUACUGUCGGGCUAGAGUCCGGAAGAGGCGAGUGGAAUUCCUGGUGUAGCGGUGAAAUGCGCAGAUAUCAGGAGGAACACCAAUGGCGAAGGCAGCUCGCUGGGACGGUACUGACGCUGAGACGCGAAAGCGUGGGGGAGCAAACAGG